rnacentral:rRNA from 1 species
UACAGAGGGGGCAAGCGUUGUUCGGAAUUACUGGGCGUAAAGGGCGCGUAGGCGCCUUCUAAGUCGAACGUGAAAUCCCCGGGCUCAACCCGGGAACUGCGUCCGAUACUGGAAGGCUUGAAUCCGGGAGAGGGAUGCGGAAUUCCAGGUGUAGCGGUGAAAUGCGUAGAUAUCUGGAGGAACACCGGUGGCGAAGGCGCAUCCUGGACCGGCAUUGACGCUGAGGCGCGAAAGCCAGGGGAGCAAACGGG